CGUCCACCGCUCUCUGUCACCAACAGUUCACUCUGACUCCCACUAGGAAAAGAAUGAAAUUUCGACGUCCUCACAAGCCGACAGACUUGACAGAACGCACUAGGAUAGUGUCAAUGUGGAUGGACGGGAUGACCUGCCGUUCCAUUGCACGAGCAACAGCGAAUAUGUCAACAACUGUACGUAUGACGACACUCAUUGCGUUGUUGAUGGUGAGAAAGUGUGUCGGUAGAACUAUGGAUAGUAAUGCCGGCCUCAGUCACCAAACAGACGUGCUGAUGACGGCUCCCAUGUUCCACAGCGGUGUGGUAGUAGAUCGGUGGAUAGACCAGGUGGGCGAGGUGGUGAGCCAGGUGGUGGAACAGCACCUUGCUGGGUGUCACUUGGUGCUGGUCGAUACAACAACACAAAGCUUAAUGUUCUCAACGAUGAUCAGG